AAGAACAGCAUCUCUGAGCCCGUCCUGGGUGACCUCACAGAGAUCACCCUAGUCGCCCAGGCUAGUGACCGGGAACAUGUACCUUCCUGCAGCCAACCCCAGACGUCCACUGAUGCAUCAUAUACUGGCAAAGAUCGUGGCCUGGGGGUGCCUUGGCCGCCGGAGAUUCGCCAGAUGUUGGUCUCCAAGGGCGGCCUCUGCUGCCCUAGAGGCGGGACGCCGGUCCCUAGGUGAGCUUGCUCCUGGGAGGCGGCGGCGGCGGCGGCGCCAGGGGGAGAGGGGGCCGUUCCAGGGAGCUGCUUCAUUUUUUCUCUCCCCCGCGGCCUGGCCUGGGGGCGACCUCUGCCGCUGGAGAUUUGCCUGAGGUCCGAC